AUUGAACGCUGGCGGCAGGCCUAACACAUGCAAGCCGAGCGGAUGAGAGGAGCUUGCUUCUCGAUUCAGCGGCGGACGGGUGAGUAAUGCCUAGGAAUCUGCCUGGUAGUGGGGGACAACGUUUCGAAAGGAACGCUAAUACCGCAUACGUCCUACGGGAGAAAGCAGGGGACCUUCGGGCCUUGCGCUAUCAGAUGAGCCUAGGUCGGAUUAGCUAGUUGGUGAGGUAAUGGCUCACCAAGGCGACGAUCCGUAACUGGUCUGAGAGGAUGAUCAGUCACACUGGAACUGAGACACGGUCCAGACUCCUACGGGAGGCAGCAGUGGGGAAUAUUGGACAAUGGGCGAAAGCCUGAUCCAGCCAUGCCGCGUGUGUGAAGAAGGUCUCCGGAUUGUAAAGCGCUUUAAGUUGGGAGGAAGGGUUGUAGAUUAAUACUCUGCAAUUUUGACGUUACCGACAGAAUAAGCACCGGCUAACUCUGUGCCAGCCGCCGCGGUAAUAC
rnacentral:rRNA from 1 species